GACGAACGCUGGCGGCGUGUUUAACACAUGCACGUCGAACGAAGUGGCGAACGGGUGAGUAAUACGUUAGUAACCUGCCCUCCUUUUUGGGAUAAGCCUUUGUAACGGGGUCUAAUACCGAAUAAAGGGGGAUGGGCCCGCGGCCUAUCAGCUUGUUGGUGGGGUGAUGGCCUACCAAGGCGGUGACGGGUAGCCGGCCUAAGAGGGUGACAGGCAACAUUAGGAAUAAAAGACGGACCAGAGUAGUACGGGAGGCAGCGGUGGGGGAUAGUGCACAGUGUGCGAAAGCCUGAAGCAGCGACGACGAGGAGGGGAAGAGGGCUUUCGGGUUAUAAACAUCUUUCGCUAUCGAACGGGUGGGAGGAGGAGAGACGCGGGCAAACUACGUGCCAGCAGCCGCGGUAAUAG
rnacentral:rRNA from 1 species